AGCGAUGAAGGACGUGAUAAGCUGCGAUAAGCUACACUGAGAGGCAAAUACUCGUUUAAGUGUAGAUUUCCGAAUGGGGUAACCCUCUCAUUUGAAGAAUGAGAAUCCGAAAGGAAGCACACCCAGGGAACUGAAACAUCUAAGUACCUGGAGGAAAAGAAAAUAAUAAUGAUUCCCUAAGUAGCGGCGAGCGAACGGGGAAGAGCCCAAACCAAUCAUGUCUAGGCAUGGUUGGGGUU
rnacentral:rRNA from 1 species